AGGGCACCACCAGGAGUGGAGCCUGCGGCUUAAUUUGACUCAACACGGGAAAACUCACCCGGCCCGGACACCGCGAGGAUUGACAGAUUGAUAGCUCUUUCAUGAUUCGGUGGAUGGUGGUGCAUGGCCGUUCUUAGUUCGUGGAGCGAUUUGUCUGGUUUAUUCCGAUAACGAGCGAGACUCUAGCCUACUAACUAGUCCGCAUGUUCGCUUGCUGCAUGCUUGGGACUUCUUAGAGGGAUUUUCGGCGUUUCAGCCGCACGAAACUGAGCAAUAACAGGUCUGUGAUGCCCUUAGAUGUCCGGGGCUGCACGCGCGCUACACUGGCGAAAUCAGCGUGCCUGUCCUCUCGCGAAAGCGACUGGUAAACCGGUGAAAAUUCGCCGUGAUUGGGAUCGGAAAUUGCAAUUAUUUUCCGUGAACGAGGAAUUCCAAGUAAGUGCGAGUCAUCAACUCGCGUUGAUUACGUCCCUGCCCUUUGUACACACCGCCCGUCGCUGCCCGAGACUGAGCCAUUUC
rnacentral:rRNA from 1 species